GAUGAACGCUGGCGGCGUGCUUAAUACAUGCAGUCCAGCCGACAGACGCCGAGUUUGCUCCUCUGCUGUUAGCGGCGGACGGGUGAGUACAACGUGGUUACCUUCCCUUUACGUCUGGGAAAAUUUCGGGAACUCGGACUUAUUACCGGUAAAUAUAUCGACUCGCAUGGUUCGAUAGUGAAAGUCGGUCUUGCUGUCAGGUACUGAGGGCUUCGCGGCGUAUUAGUUUGUUGGUGGGUUACCGGCUUACUGAGGCUACGAUGGGUAGCGGGCCUGAGGGGGUGACCGGCGAGAUUGGGACUUAGAUAAGGCCCAGAAUGAUAAGGGAGGCAGCAGUGGGGAAUAUUGCACAAGGGGCGGCAGGCUGAUGAAGAAACGCCGCGUGUGGGAUAACGCCCUUUGGGUUGUAAAACGCUUUUGUCUGUGACGAAGCGCGAGUGACGGUAAUGGGUAAAGAAGAACCGGCUAACUACGUG
rnacentral:rRNA from 1 species